UCUGGUGGCCUUAGAGUCGUGGUCCCACCCGGUCCCAUAUCGAACCCGGAAGUGAAACGCGGCAUCGCCGAUGGUAGUGCGUCUAUAGGGCACGCGAGAGUAGGUCGUCGCCAGAG
rfam:Verrucomicrobia subdivision 6 bacterium BACL9 MAG-120924-bin69 contig00424_1_120924-bin69, whole genome shotgun sequence.